UAUAUACCCUGACUGGAGAUCAAACCUGCAGCGCUGGCGUGUCAGGGUGACACUCUAACCAUCUGUACUACGUGGCCAGGGCUUGUCUGCAGGUUUUCAAGCCAAGUCCUGUCACACCUCAAGAAAGACAGGGAGGUCAUUUGGCUUCUAGCCAAGCUUUGUAUCAGAGUCCUUUGACAUUGGUCCCUUGACUCUAUUUGCAAGGAGGUAGGAGGCUCCCUCUAUCUACCUGUCAGAAACACUGAGGCUGUUUUGUGCCUCUUUCUGCCCCCAUCCCUGGGUACUCACCUUCUGCCCCUUCCUCCCUGGUCAUCAACCAAGAGGGCACGGACACAGAGAUGCCCAUGACUAGGGACCGAGUCCUUGUUCACUACACUGGGCGGUUGUUAGAUGGCAUCAAGUUUGCCUCCAGUCUGGACCGCAAGGACAAAUUCUUUGAUCUGGGAAAAGGUGGGCAAAACCUAGGCUUGGUAGCUAGAUUUCUGGGAGGAUGUAAGCAGUCACCAGCAGGAACCACGUUUUCAGAAGCUCAAGGAGGAAUAGUUUAUUACAAACUGCUGCCUUUGUUGUUGUUGCUCCUUCUCCCACUGUUCUGUGUCUCCACUGAUUCCUCUCCUUGCUCUGAUCACUCUGAGUACCUCACUUCCUCUUCAGAAGUGACUGCCUUGUUUCUUGAACAUCUUUGUUCCAGAGUUGAGUGGUUUGAUUUGGUUUGGGUUUUAGGAGGUCUGAGAUGACAGCACUGAUUGCAGCCAUGUGCUUCUUCUUCUAAAGAGUGUCCAGCUUCCCCUCAGGCAUCGUACCCUGGCGCUAAGGACCCCAGAGUCAGCUCCCUGCCAAGGGGGAAGGGCCUGUUUGCCUUCUGUACCUAAAGAAAGGGGAGGUCAUCAAGGUGUGGGAUGUUGCUAUAGCAACCCUGAGGUUGGAAGAAGCCUCACCUGCAAGCCAGAAUAUGCCCACAGUUGGGCAGGCAGCCCUCUGCAAACCCCUUCAAAUGCCACACUUGUGUUUGAGGUAAAGUGGUGUGAGUUCAAGGGAGAGGACCUAACACAGGAAGAAGAUGGGGAACCAUCCGAGGAAUAUGGACUCGGGGCGAAGGCUGUGCCAGGCCCACGAGGGUGCUGUGGUGGAGGCCGCACUGGAAGGGGUACUACAAGGACCAGAUUUUUGACUACCAGGAGCUCCACUUUGAGAUGGGUGGGGGGCAGAGUCUGGAUCUGCCUAGUGGGCUGGAGAUAGCCAUUCAGUAGAUGGAAAAUGGAGAACAUUCCAUGGUGUACCUCAAGCCCAGGUCAGGAGUGGGCUUGGUAGAGCACAUAGAUGAACUGAAGUCAGAGAUCUAUAUGUCCCCAGUGAGUUAAAUGACUGGCCAUGUUUGUCCUCUCCUUGGUGUGCGUUCACUACCCCCACAGCCUCAUUCAUGUUCACUGUGCCUCUGGGCACACCAAACAUAGGCCAUAAUGGUCUCUUCACUGCAUUUAGGUGUGUGGCCACAACUGUCCAUAUCUUCUUGGAUCCAAGCAUAAUCUUUUUGAUCAUGGCUGCUACAGACUCUCCUUCGCUGACAUCAAGGUUUUCAUGUUCCAUUGGUUCACUCACUCAUUCGUGACAUUUAUGGCAGCACACUUGUUCUGUGACAUACACGAUGCUGACAAUUUGUAGUUUCUCACCGACAUUGUUCCUGCCACCCAUUGACUCAUUUUUCAGUGAGAUGCCACUUUCAGUUAGUAAUCAUGCCAGUAGAUGUCUAGCAUGAGUUGUCACAAGGGUAAGUAAGAUACUAACAGA